rnacentral:rRNA from 1 species
ACCCCUACGGGACGCAGCAGUCGGGAAUAUUGCGCAAUGGAGGAAACUCUGACGCAGUGACGCCGCGUAUAGGAAGAAGGUUUUCGGAUUGUAAACUAUCGUCAUCAGGGAAGAUAAAAGACAGUACCUGAGGAGGAAGCUCCGGCUAACUAUGUGCCAGCAGCCGCGGUAAUACAUAGGGAGCAAGCGUUAUCCGGAUUUAUUGGGUUUAAAGGGUGCGCAGGCGGUCUGUUAAGUCAGCGGUCAAAGCCCGGGGCUCAACCCCGGCCCGCCGUUGAAACUGGCAGUCUCGAGUUGGAGAGAAG